GAUGAAGAACGUAGCGAAAUGCGAUAAGUAAUCUGAAUUGCAGAAUUCAGUGAAUCAUCGAAUCUUUGAACGCACCUUGCGCUCUUUGGUAUUCCGAAGAGCAUGCCUGUUUGAGUGUCAUGAAAAUAUCAACCUUGACUUGGGUUUUGUGCUCUAGUCUCGGCUUGGAAUUGGGUGCUUGCCGCUUUUACGAGCGGCUCACCUUAAAUGUAUUAGCUGGAUCUGUCUUUGAGACUUGGUUUGACUUGGCGUAAUAAGUAUUUCGCUAAGGACAUUCUUCGGAGUGGCCUCGUUUCUAGGACGCUUGUCCGCUUUCCAAUACAAGUUCCACCUCGUGGACAUGACUUUUUAUUAUCUGGCCUCAAAUCAGGUAGGACUACCCGCUGAACUUAAGCAUAUCAAUAAGCGGAGGA
rnacentral:misc_RNA from 1 species